ACCUUCGGCGGCGGGACGGGGGUGCGGGGGACGGAGAGAAAGUUGCGGGGCGGUUCGAGUUACCCCCCGUUCGCCGCUGGAGCCUGCCGCGGGCAGGAGCUGCAGAUUUCAUGGCUGUGGACUUGCCGGAGAUCCCCCGCGAACCGCGGCCGGCGGGAGCGGGAUCGGGGCCGGGACCUUUGUGUGCGGGGUCUGCCCGGCCCCGCGCUGCCGGCGAGGACGGAGCUCCCCGGUGACUGCCGGGGCAGCGGGAGAGGAAGCAGAGGUAAAGAUCACAGCUUUCUCAACAAAGACCCAGUCUGAAAAUGGAGUAAAAAUUGAUGUGAGAAGUUUGCUUUCUGGAAGGAAGUGAGUUUUCCUGCUCUCCAGCUCCAAGUCCCAGUAUCAAUUAAUGUUUUCUAAUAUAGUAUGCAUUUUAUAUCAAGUCUGUGCUUUUUCUGUUAUUUUUGGAAGACUCUUCUGAUUAUUAUAUACAACUGGUAAUGUGGUUUUGUAAAUUAAAGACUUUUUCUUGUUCAA